AUAUAUCGAGUGGCAUCAUUUGAUAUUGAAAACUCCCGGUGGAUAGAGAUGGGCGCGCAAGAUUAGAUAGUUGGUGAGGUAAACGGCUCACCAAGUUCUGCGAUCUUUAGGGCCUGAGAGGGGUGAUUCCCCCACACUGGGUACUGAGACACGGACCCAGACUCCUACGAGGGCAGCAAGUGAGGAAAUAUUGGACAAAUGGGGUGAGAAGCCUGAAUCCCAGCCCACCGCGUGAAGGGACGACUGCCCUAUGGGUUGUAAACUUUCUUUUUGUAUAGGGAUUAACUUACUCUCGUGAGGAGUAGCUGAAAGGUACUAUACGAAAUAAGCACCGGGCUAACUCUGCCCAGCCAGCCCGCGGGUAAUACGGAGGGGUGCCAAGCGUUUUCCCGGAUUUUAUUGUUUUAAAGGGUCCCGUAGGCGGAUUCUGUAAGUCCAGUGGUGAAAUUCUCACAGCUUACUGUGAAAACUGCCCAUUGAUACUGCAGGUCUUGAGUGUUGCUGAAAGUAGCUGGAAAGUAGUGUAGCGGUGAAAUGCAUAGAUAUUACUUAGAACACCCAAUUGCGAAGGCAGGACUAAGCAACAACUGACGCUGAUGGACGAAAGCGUGGGGAGCGAACAGGAUUAGAUACUGGUAGUCCACGCCGUAAACGAUGCUAACUUCGUUUUUGGAUUUUCGGAUUCAGAGAC
rnacentral:rRNA from 1 species